AUGGACCGUCAGGCCAGCACAAGCCACAUCCAUGUCCUGGAGAGGAUUCUGCUCGACGAGAACGCGGAGCCCACGGACCUGCCGCUAUCACUUCUCAAAGGCAUCACAAAUGGCUUCUCUCCUGCUCACCAAAUUGGCAGGGGCGGGUUUGCGGAGGUUUACAAGGGAGUGGUCGGGAAAGGUAUGGUCGCCGUGAAGAGGCUGUCAAGGACGUUUGCUGUCCACGAGAAUAAAUUCCAGGAAGAGGUCAAAUGCCUGAUAAAGGCCAAGCACAAGAAUAUUGUCCGGUUUCUGGGGUAUUGCGCUGACACGCAGGGUAAAAUGGAAGAGUACGAGGGGAAUCUUGUCAUGGCAGAUCAACGCAACUGGUUGCUCUGUUUUGAAUAUGUAUGCAACGGGAGUCUCGAUAAGCACAUUACUGCUGCAACUUGUGGACUUAAUUGGAGGCAGCGCUAUCAAAUAAUCAGGGGGAUAUGUGAGGGGUUACUUUUUCUGCACAAGAAGAGAAUUCUUCACUCGGACCUGAAGCCUGCUAAUAUAUUGCUAGAUGGUCACAUGGUACCCAAAAUUGCUGAUUUUGGUCUCUCGAGGUGCCUCGGUGAAGAGCAAACCCGUUAUAUUACUCAAAACCUAUGGGGAACACUGGGAUACGUGGAUCCAGAAUACAUCAGAUCAAGACAAAUCUCAUUCUCGUCAGACAUGUAUAGUCUUGGCGUUAUAAUAAUGGAGAUAGUGGCAGGAAUUAGGUGCUAUCGCGAAGAUGAGGAUGUAAUUCAAAGUUGGAUGAUUCGAUUGGAGGCAUUAGAGGGCGACAUACAGUUGGAACAAGUAAGAGUAUGCUGCAAGAUAGCGGUAGAGUGCAUGGACUUGGACCCAAAGAAGAGACCAGUUGCACAACACAUAGUUAACAGGCUUGAUAAAACGGCAAGUGCAGACUAUUUAGACGAAACUAGCAUUGGAAAUUCAUUAUUUCAGCCGUGGGUAAGUUGUCCAAGGGAGCAACCUGGAGAAAGAAUUGGAAAACUUGCAGCUGGGAGCCUCCAAGUGGAUGUCGAGGAACACUCUGAAAUACUGGAAGAUGUCGCAGAAAGUAUUGAAUGGCUUCAUUUCCAGGAUGGCCAACAGAAAAUAGACCAAUUACCAUCACGGGGAGUGCAAGAUACGAAGCAAAAGGUUAACCGUUGUGGCACAAGCAUUUCUAGCUGUAUCCCUAAUGUGUUCUACAAGUUAAACAAAUUGAACAUCUUCCACAGGAAAGCAAGCAGGAACCUCCAUAGCAUCGACAUGCACACAUUAGAAAAGUUACAUAAUAUAAAGAUCUUCACAAAAGAGGAGCUCAAGCCAAUAAUAAAUAGUACGAAUUUGAUUGGAAGAGGCGUCUUCUCUCAUGUUUACAAGGGCUAUGUUGAUAACACACAGGUUGCGGUAAAGAUACCGUUUACUUAUAGUUCGCUGCAGAAUUUAGAAUUUGAAAAUCAAGUCGUCAUCAUGUCUCAAGUCAGCCACAAGAACAUUGUUAGGCUCAUAGGUUGUUGCCUAGAAGCAGGCUCCCUCAUGCUUGUGUAUGAGUUCGUCUCCAAUGGAAGCCUUGAUGAAAUUCUUCAUAGCCGCGAUAAGGUUAUGCCUCUCAACUUGGAUGUGCGUCUGAAUAUCGUGGCAGAAUCCGCACAAGGUCUGGCUUAUCUGCAUUCACAAGCCCGUGCCAAAACAGUGCAUGGUGAUGUCAAAUCAGCAAACAUACUCUUGGAUGAUGACUUUGUGCCAAAGAUCUCAGACGUUGGCAUAACGAAGUUGAUUGAUCUGAGUGAUUGGCGAUACAGUAGCAUUCUCGUUGGCGGUGGGAGUUAUAUUAGGGAUCCAGUGUACGUGCAGACAGGCAUGCUGACCGAAAAAACUGACGUCUACUGUUUUGGAAUUGUGAUCUUGGAGGUGAUUAGCGGGAAGAAGCCCAAUCAUUAUGAUGAUAGCAGCUGUGGCCUGGCGACGAGGUUCCUUGAUGUUCACAAAGAGGGGAAGAAAGCAACCCAUCUGUUUGACAUGGAUAUUGCAGUAACAGCAGGAGACUUGGAGAUUCUCGGCCACCUUGCAGAGAUUGCUGUGGAAUGUAUUAACUUUGAUGCGGAUCAACAAAGGCCCACGAUGACAGAUGUCGCGGAGCGCCUCCUCAUACUGAAUCGAUCUCGUAGGCCUCAAGCUGUUUAG
rnacentral:rRNA from 1 species